GGGGUGGCUCAGUGGUAGAGUGUCUGCUUGACAUGCAGAAGGUCACAGGUUCAAUCCCUGGUAUCUCCA